GACGAACGCUGGCGGCGUGCUUAACACAUGCAAGUCGAACGGAAAGGCCCUGCUUUUGUGGGGUGCUCGAGUGGCGAACGGGUGAGUAACACGUGAGUAACCUGCCCUUGACUUUGGGAUAACUUCAGGAAACUGGGGCUAAUACCGGAUAGGAUCUCCUGCUGCAUGGUGGGGGUUGGAAAGUUUCGGCGGUUGGGGAUGGACUCGCGGCUUAUCAGCUUGUUGGUGGGGUAGUGGCUUACCAAGGCUUUGACGGGUAGCCGGCCUGAGAGGGUGACCGGCCACAUUGGGACUGAGAUAAGGCCCAGAAUCCUACGGGAGGCAGCAGGGGGGAAUAGUGCACAAUGGGCGGAAGCCUGAUGCAGCAACGCCGCGUGCGGGAUGACGGCCUUCGGGUUGUAAACCGAUUUCGCCUGUGACGAAGCGUGAGUGACGGUAAUGGGUAAAGAAGCACCGGCUAACUACGUG
rnacentral:rRNA from 1 species